UACGUAGGGGGCAAGCGUUGUCCGGAAUCAUUGGGCGUAAAGAGCGUGUAGGCGGCCCGAUAAGUCCGCUGUGAAAGUCGAGGGCUCAACCCUCGAAUGCCGGCGGAUACUGUCGGGCUAGAGUCCGGAAGAGGCGAGUGGAAUUCCUGGUGUAGCGGUGAAAUGCGCAGAUAUCAGGAGGAACACCUACGGCGAAGGCAGCUCGCUGGGACGGUACUGACGCUGAGACGCGAAAGCGUGGGAGCAAACAGG
rnacentral:rRNA from 1 species